ACAGAUAAGCAAAAGCAGAGAAUCUGCUGCUGGUGGACUUGCACUAUAAUAAAGACAAUUCUUCAAGCUGAAGGAUAAUAGCACCAGAUGGAAGCUUAUAAAUGCCAGAACAAAUGAAGAUCAUUGGAAACACUGUGCACUCUAAUGAAGAGGACGACCAUCCCAGACAGAGGAGGACCAGUCUUUGUUCUAGGAUUUCUUUUUCCUAAUGACUUGCUCAUUUGCCAAACUGGCACUAAUGCAAGAACUCUGUGAUUAACUGAUGUUAUUGAAGACUGCUUUAGACUGACUGACUGUCAGCAUGCCUCCAAAAUUCAUAUGUUGAAAGCUAAUCCCCAAUAAGAUGGUAUUUGGAGGUGGGGCCUUUGGAAGAUGAUUAGGUCAUGGGGAUAAAAGGGACUAGUAGCUUCUAAAAGAGGCUCCAAAGAGUUGCCUUGCUCUUUCCUCCAUGUAAGGACACAGUGAGAAGACAAUUGUCUAUGAAGCAAGCAGUGGGCCCUCACAGACACCAAACCUGCUGAUAUCUUGAUUUAUGACCUCCAUAACUGUAAAAAAUAAAUGUUUACUGUUCAAGCCA
rnacentral:lncRNA from 10 species